rnacentral:rRNA from 1 species
UACGAAGGGGGCUAGCGUUGCUCGGAAUCACUGGGCGUAAAGGGUGCGUAGGCGGGUCUUUAAGUCGGAGGUGAAAUCCUGGAGCUCAACUCCAGAACUGCCUUCGAUACUGAAGAGCUCGAGUCCGGGAGAGGUGAGUGGAACUGCGAGUGUAGAGGUGAAAUUCGUAGAUAUUCGCAAGAACACCAGUGGCGAAGGCGGCUCACUGGCCCGGUACUGACGCUGAGGUGCGAAAGCUAGGGGAGCAAACAGG